rnacentral:lncRNA from 1 species
CAAGGCUUGCACGAGGGCAAGCAACAACGGAAGCGAAAGCUCUAUACUAAAACAUACAACCAUAUAUGAUAUUUGAUUAGAUUUAAACCAAAUACAAUUGAACUAAAACUAUUACAUCUUUUUCCAUUCAACCAUAAUUCUCAUACAACUUAAUCAUUCUACCAAAACACAUGAUUGUUUACAAUUUUACAUUUCUCUAAAUCAACAAA